UACGUAGGUGGCAAGCGUUAUCCGGAUUUAUUGGGCGUAAAGAGUGAGCAGGCGGUUUUCACAGUUCGAAGUCAAAUCCAGUUGCUUAACAACUGUUCGCUUUGAAUACUAGAAAGCUAGAGUGCAGGAGAGGUUAGCGGAAUUCCAUGUGUAGCGGUGAAAUGCGUAGAUAUAUGGAGGAACACCAGUGGCGAAGGCGGCUAACUGGCCUGUAACUGACGCUCAGUCACGAAAGCGUGGGGAGCAAAUAGGAUUAGAUACCCUAGUAGUCCACGCUGUAAACUAUGAGUGCUAAGUGUUGGGGAGACCCAGUGCUGAAGUUAACACAUUAAGCACUCCGCCUGAGGAGUACGUUCGCAAGAAUGAA
rnacentral:rRNA from 1 species